AAUGCCCUUAGUACAUUUUUGUGAGAGACUAGCCUUUGUAUUAAAACUAAAGUAAAAUAAAGCUUCCGUUUCUUUAAGUGAGUGUAUUUAUUUAAAAAAAAGUAGUAAUGUAGUUAUUAAUUGACGGUUUGUAUUGAAUCACCUGGUUGUGACGGAUUGAAGCAAAUCACCUGGCAACAAGAAUGGCUUCUCUUUUAACCGAGGUUCAGUUUUGGACCUUCAAAGAUUUAUUAAUAAAAGAUGUUUAUUCCGGUGUAUCCAAGUUGUAUGAUAAAGGAGAAGGAGAUGCUUUCUUGGAAAAUCCGUACUUAGAAGACCAUAAAACAUGGAGUGAAGAUCGAGAUAUCGUAUGUAUUCCAAGAAACAAAAGACCAGAGAAACUUAAGGACACUUUGAAGGAGUUAGAGG